AACCGUUGAAUAACUUCCAGAACAAGCUCUAAAUGGCCUCGCCCCGCCCUACCUGACCCAAAAAGAAGACCGUGAUCUUGCUGUAGCAGCAUCAGGUUGGUUUCCGAUUUUCUGGAAACCGAGACGACUUUCAUCAGCAGCCGACUUCCGCCCUGACGGAUGAGAGACACGACCUGCCGGUGACCCACCUUCACCACGUCGGUGCCGUUCACCUGCAGAGAGCAGACAGUUAAUCUACCAGAUAGUGAAGACAUCUGCUGUCACCUCUAUGAGGAAAUCUCCGGUCCUUAGCCCCGCCCUCCAGGCCACGCCCCCCUGAUCCACCGACUCCAGGUACUGCAGAGCAGGAAACGCUGGCGUGGGAGCGAACUCCUCGAUGGGCGUCUCAGCUGGAAACAGUUUAGCAAAAAGAACACAAGCUCCUCGGAGAACGAAGCCGAAUCCUUCGCUUUCUCUCUUCUGGAGCACGGCUGUUUUCUCCUCGAUCACGUAGUCGCUGAAACAGAACGAGGAUUCAGAGUCUGCCUGGAGAGCACCAACCGUCUUCAAGACAUCGUUUAAGAACCCUGAACUCAAAAAUAUCUAACGAUAAACCUGUUGUAAUAAAUCUGUUUUUCAUGGACUCAGUUAAAGAUUUUUUUGUUUAAUCUGUAAAUAAAUGGUUUCCUUCAUAAAGAUGUAAAUAGUUACUGACUUAUCACUGUACAGUUUCAUAUUAAAAUUCUUUCUACAUCUCA